CUCCCUAUUCCCAUCUGAGAAAAUAGUCAUAGAGGUAUCUAAACCAUGUUUAUAGCCUCUAUAUGUCUUUAAAAUGGCAGAAACAGUAAAUAAACUCGUGUAACUCAAAUCCAAUCAUUUGUUUCAAAUUCUGAGCCGUUCCUCACGUCAAACAGAAUUGUGUCAUGGAGUGUGACAAUACAAUUAUAGAGUGUAGCAAAAUUGGUAUCUGCGAAGCCAAUCUUCACCCUUCUCAUAAUAAUCCAUCCUACUAAAUGUCUGCUGUGGGAAUUGCAAUGCAGCAGCAUAAGUAGAAGCCCCACGCCAUGCAUCGAGAAUUGGAUCCAAUGCUCUGACCACCUUGAUAGGCGACCCACAUGGACGAAUCAUUCGGAUACCAGCUUCCAAGCGCUCAGACAUGCCAGGGUAAAGACAGCUACCACCAGUCAUUAGGAUUGAACUGGUCAGUCUCUCCUCCAAGUCUUGGUCCUUGGUUGACAAUCUCCUUAUUGAGACACCAGCCAUCUCAUCUAGCCCUGCCUGAUCAAUCCCAACAAGGUUGGGAUGAAACAGAAUUUCUGGGCAUCUGAACCUUUCAACCCCAAGCAAAACUUGGAAAUCCUCCUUUGUCAAUGGACGAAAACGUGGUAUCUCAGGAGCAGGUUGCGAUGGUCCUACAUCUAGUUUGGGAACAAAUGUUGGGUCUAUUUCCUGAAGCCUAGAAGAAAUUUGGGCAAGCUCUACUUCAUCCUCAUCUAGCCCCUCAUCAUCAUCAUCAUCAUUAUCUUUGCUCAUGAGUUUGUAAAGUUGCCAAUCUUCAUCCUUGGCACCAAAAGUAUCCUCACCCUUCCCCCGAUCAAAAGCUGCUGUUGUUAAGAGCCGCAUCCUUUCUCUUUGAGCAGCAUUCAAUCUCUCACCACGACCAACACCACCAGGCACAUUAUUUCCAUUUGAGUGGUUCCCAUUUGCUUUGAGUCGUUUUCGCUGUUCAACUUUCUCAGAUAGUUCCUUGUAUUUAACACGCAUCUGCUCUAAAUAAAGUUCUGGGUUCUCUAAUCGUUUUUCUUCAUCUAGUUGAUUUUUCCUUUCUCGUUCUAAUUCUUCUUCUUGACGUUUCUGUUUAGCUCGUUGCCGGCCAUCAGAUGUGGUUUUAAGGAACAGCUGUCUCCUCUUUUCCUUGAUCUGCUCUGGGGUCAACAAGUUGUCAGGAAUAUUGACAAGGGGAUAUUUUUCAUUCAUAGAAGAAUCACUUUUCUCUUCAACUUCAGCUUGUUCAGCCUUUGGCUCGCCUUUUGCUUUGCGCAAGGACUGUGUUACUUUCACAAGUGAGGAUUCUAUUUCCUGCUUGGAAACAUAACCAGUAUCUUUCAGGAAAGAUGGAAUUUCAGCUUCUUCCACUUGCUCGAGCUGCUGCAAAAGAAAUUCCAUACCACGCAAUUGAUUUUCUAGUUCAUUUAUCCUAGAUGACCUCUUUGCCUCAGCCAUUUCUCGUAGCCAUUGACCUUGUCUCUCCUUUAUGGCUGGCUUUCUUG
rnacentral:misc_RNA from 1 species